GUCUAUUGAAUCAUUUUUCGAGAAUUCGCCGAAACGACAGAAGGCAUAGCCUGGUCUGUUCACCGACAAAGUCAAAACACAGAUCGUCAUUUUUACCGACUGAAUGAAGAAAUAUUUAUGGCUAAAGUACCACGAAGAUGAAGGCAUGUUUUGUAAACAGGACAGCAGACCUAUGGACACAGAUCAGAAAAAGAAAUAUCACCAUCACCACAUUGUUUGAUCCUGAGGACAAUGAAGUGUGAAGUUGGGCUGUAA